rnacentral:rRNA from 1 species
UACGUAGGGGGCAAGCGUUGUCCGGAUUUAUUGGGCGUAAAGAGCGUGUAGGCGGCCAAGCAGGUCCGCUGUGAAAACUCGAGGCUCAACCUCGAGACGGCGGUGGAAACUGUCAAGCUAGAGUCCGGAAGAGGCGAGUGGAACUCCUGGUGUAGCGGUGAAAUGCGCAGAUAUCAGGAAGAACACCAAUGGCGAAGGCAGCUCGCUGGGACGGUACUGACGCUGAGACGCGAAAGCGUGGGGAGCAAACAGG